CACGUAGGGCGCGAGCGUUGUCCGGAAUUAUUGGGCGUAAAGAGCUCGUAGGCGGCCUGUUGCGUCCGCUGUGAAAGCCCGGGGCUUAACCCCGGGUCGGCAGUGGGAUACGGGCAGGCUAGAGGUGAGGUAGGGGAGAAUGGAAUUCCCGGUGUAGCGGUGAAAUGCGCAGAUAUCGGGAGGAACACCGGUGGCGAAGGCGGUUCUCUGGGCCUUACCUGGCGCUGAGGAGCGAAAGCGUGGGGAGCGAACAGG
rnacentral:rRNA from 1 species